AGCGAACGUUAGCGGCGCGCUUAACACAUGCAAGUCGAACGAGAAAGGGACUUCGGUCCCCGGUAAAGUGGCGCACGGGUGCGUAACACGUAGGCAAUCUUCCCUCGGGUGGGGGAUAACUACCCGAAAGGGUAGCUAAUACCGCGUAAGACCACGGUUUCCACGGAAACAGCGGUCAAAGGAGGCACCUUCAUGAAAACUUCACCCGGAGGAUGAGCCUGCGGCCCAUCAGCAAGUUGGCAGGGUAACGGCCUACCAAGGCGAAGACGGGUAGCCGGUCUGAGAGGAUGAUCGGCCACACUGGCACUGAAACACGGGCCAGACUCCUACGGGAGGCAGCAGUGGGGAAUCUUGGACAAUGGGCGAAAGCCUGAUCCAGCGACGCCGCGUGGGUGAUGAAGGCCAUCGGGUUGUAAAGCCCUGUUGAGGGGAAAGAAAACGUUGGGCGCGAAUAGCUCCCGACCCUGACGGUACCCCUCCAGAAAGCACCGGCUAACUCUGUGCCAGCCGCCGCUGUAAUAC
rnacentral:rRNA from 1 species